rnacentral:rRNA from 1 species
GACGAACGCUGGCGGCGUGCUUAACACAUGCAAGUCGAACGAAGAGCGACGGAAGCUUGCUUCUAUCAAUCUUAGUGGCGAACGGGUGAGUAACGCGUAAUCAACCUGCCCUUCAGAGGGGGACAACAGUGGGAAACGACUGCUAAUACCGCAUACGAUCUAACCUCGGCAUCGAGGAUAGAUGAAAGGUGGCCUCGACAUGUAAGCUAUCACUGAAGGAGGGGAAUGCGGCUGAUUAGCUAGUUGGAGGGGUAACGGCCCACCAAGGCGAUGAUCAGUAGCCGGUCUGAGAGGAUGGACGGCCACAUUGGGACUGAGACACGGCCCAGACUCCUACGGGAGGCAGCAGUGGGGAAUCUUCCGCAAUGGACGAAAGUCUGACGGAGCAACGCCGCGUGAGUGAUGACGGCCUUCGGGUUGUAAAGCUCUGUUAAUCGGGACGAAAGGCCUUCUUGCGAAUAGUGAGAAGGAUUGACGGUACCGGAAUAGAAAGCCACGGCUAACUACGUG